CUCUUGCUGACCAGUUAUGAAUUUUCUUUAUGUUAUUGCUGAUCUCAGAUGUUUAGUUUCCAAGUUUAUCUCAAAACUACACCUUCUAUGAAUGCCCCCAGGUGGUGCAUAUCUAAAAGCUCUUUGUGCAUUCUUACGAUUUUUGUAUAUGCAUUUGCGUGAAUUGAGCCCGGAUCUGAUCUGGUUUGGCUAUGUUCAUGGUUUUCUUUGGUCGCGUAUGAGUGGAAAAGGGAGGCAGGGGAGUUCGAAUUUGUGAGGACAAUGGCGCCAUGGUUGACUGAAUGGCAAUAGGAAGAAGGCACAUCUCAUGUAAUUGUUUUAUUUAAGACAAGUCUGCACUGGGGAGUUCCAAUUUGUGAGGACUAUGGUGCCAUGGUUGACUGAAUGGCAAUAGGAAGAAGGCACGUCUCAUGUAAUUGUUUUAUUUAAGACAAGUCUGCACUCUCUUAUGUCAAAUUUGCAGAUUCCCCUGCCCUAGGCUAUUUCUAAGGGGGAGAGAAGUGUGUUAUUUUUUGUUGGGAUUACAAAGAAUGGUAGCGGUGAGUAUAUGGUAUAUUCUUUUCCCUAUUUUUCUUUAACAUAUUUAGUUUUGGGUAUAGGCACGACCAUUAAAUUCAAUCAUUUCCCUUGUCUCUAUCAAAUUUAAACAUUGCACAAUGAUUUAUCCUCUAUUUUGACCUUGCACUGAAAUCUGAAUUCAGCUCGUGUGCAUGUAUGUUUAUACCUAGCCUAAAAUCUUGUCUCCUGCAUAUUGUGGUAGGUGACCUCAUGUAGGGGUAUGCUUAGCAGUUUAGUGUUGCUUCUCCAUCAUAUCUUGACACCCUUUGAUUAAGUACAUGGUCUGUCUUGCCCAUUAAUCGUUCAUAAUAAAAACAUAGGUAUUACAAACAUCAUUUUGUGGACCAAAUACCGUGUCCAUGUAAUCAUGUUGUCUAUUUAUGAAUUUAUUUGUAUUAUUACUGCUCUACUAUGGUGCGAUUGGUGUUCCUAUUUGUCUAUUUUGGCGUUUGCUACCUUCUCUGUUGUUUCCUUCUGUGUUGCAUGGCGGAGGAAGAAUUUGAUUAUUUGGAGUGUGCACUGGAGCUAUCGGAAGAUAAUUCCAUUACUGGAUUCAUAACUUUUGGAACAUAAGUACAGAAUCGGUGAUAUGCAGCUGGUUGAUUUUCCAACAUAAAGACUAGAGAAUUGCUACAAUUUGAGAUGGCAGUGAAUGCUUAUGAGACUCGCUUUGCUACGAAGGAGAGAUGAAGAUAUACCUGCGGUGGAGGAGGGCGGCGGUUGGUGCCUGUGGAGCUGCGGUGUGCCGCAGGCAAUCGAGGCGGCUGAAGCUUGCUGCGGCCCUGAGCCCGCUGCGCGGCGAUGGAAUACAUGGAAACGCGGUGCUGACGACCAAUCUAGAAAUAUCGGUUACUAAAUUAGCAGAUCUAUCUAUAGUUUUCCUGUAAAACUAAUAAAUUUGGAAGGCAUGGAUUUGUUGUACGAAGGACCGAUAAAGACAUACCUGCGGUGGAGGAGGGCGGCGGUUGGAGCCUGUGGAGCUGCGGUGUGGCGCAGGCAAUACAGGCGGCUGAAGGUUAUUGCGGCCCUGAGCCCGUUAGUGAGCCGAGGGAAUAUAUGGAGACGCCGUACUGACGACCAGCGGAGCGCGGCUGUCUUGCCAUGGAAGCAGCGCUUUUGAACAACUACCACUUAUGCUUUUACCUAUAUAAUCUCUGCUGUUGUUCCUCAUCGAUCUAUUAAUAUGCAUAAUGACGUGCUUAUCUAUAAUUAUUUGUUUUUACUACUUUCUCUGUUUCAAACAUUGAGUACUCACCAGCAACAACAAAUAUGCUAAGCAAGGAAGAGGCAUGCCCUACCUGGCAGCGCCCACCUUCCACUCAAGGGAUAUAGCACUAUCUUUUAGCAUAGACUGUUCCAGGAGCUGUAAGUAUAUUCAUUAUUUUGAUCUGUGACUAAGUUUUCCUAUCACCACUCUUACAAUACUUGGCUUGCUGCCGGCUUUUGCGGCAUUAGCGCAACGGGUCAUCUAGUUGAAGUAAAAAGCCGAUGGAAGAGCAUGUAGAUGUGAUAGUGUGCUCAUAAGUUCACAAUCCCUCUUUUGCUUCAUCCUAUUCUGAUUUGAGUUCGGUAAGACCGUCCCUCUUUCACCGUUUCUCUGAUGAACCUUAACUCGUUUUAUACACUCUCCGCACCUCUAUUUCUCUCUCCAUUCUACGUAUGCAUGUUUGAUGUCGCCUCUUUUUUCCCCUACACAUUGUCUCCUGCACGUCCCUUUCCCCCUUUCACCCCUCCACGUUGGUAAAGGAAGUGGCACGACGAAGAUAUCUGACUUAUUUUCAUUUUCUAUGGUAAGGUGAACUAUUUGUUCGCCAAAACUAGGGAUAAAUUAUCUGAUUUGUUAAUUACAACAAAAAAGAUAGUUAAACUUAUUCCCAACUUAAAAUAGUUCCAGUUCUCAAGGCACGUUAUUAUACAUGCUCUCAUAUACAAUCUGCACAACGUUAGAUGCUAGCAUUACCUAAGGGAAACACUUCAUAUCUAUAGUCUGAUAUAGAGCAUUCGUCAUACCACUUGUUUGCCGUUGAUAAUUGCUUAAUCCCACGGAUGGAGAAUCACACCUUAAUCCCAUGGUUUGUUGCUAACCAACCACUUUUAGCGCACGUAAAUCCCUCCUCCCCUAAUCACUCGCUCGUUUCAUCUCUCCCCAAUGCCCCGUUCCUCUCAUGGUCACGAUCUCACCUGCCUGGCCGACAUCGACGCACCCCACCUCCGAGUCUGGCUUCCACUGCGUUGCCCCUGUCCUCUCCUAUAUCCGCGCCCAGAAUCAAUCCCCCGUUCUCCUUGAUCCCAACUGAUGUCACUUCAAGUUCCCCAUCAACCGCGGCUGGAAGAUCCGAUCUCGUGCACUCCUUGAUGAUGCCCCCUCCCCCCGGGCACUACCUCGCCGUGUGCCAUACCAGAUUUAGCUGCUCGUUGCCUCGUCUACUUCCCUGGAGCAUCAACCGGCUGCAGACGUACCAAAUGUCGGCCGGAUAACCAGGAGCAGCUUCUAGUCCUUUUCCCAUCUUGAACAUCCCUUCUCGGAAUCGAAGCCAUCCUUCUUGUUUCCACGCAAUGCCAAGUGAGGCUAUCGAUGCUGAGGAUGCCAGCAUGACCAGGCACCGCUCGCCGCCGACUGUUCUAAUGGUGACAAGGGGCUUGCAGCAUGCGUAGAGCUUAUCCAUAAUCAUCUGUUCAGCAUGCGUUGAGACUUCAGCAAGACGGAAGUGAAAAUAGUGUCACCGUAAUUGAUGCUUUGAAGUAUUGAUGCUACCUCAGAAUUAUGUUUGUUCAGUUUAGAUAGUUGACCACAAUAGAACCAUGCUUCAAAAUAUCCAUUCUUAACCAUCCAGUGUUUCUAUAUAUGUAUUUUGAAGCUUCUUUAUAGUACUAUUUUUUUUGCUUCA